rnacentral:lncRNA from 1 species
UAGUUUUGAUUUGCAUUUCUCUAAUAAUUAGUCAUGUUGAGCAUUUUUUCAUGUGCCUACUUGCCAUCUGUAUGUCUUCUUUGGAGAAAUGUCUACUUAGGUCUUCUGCCCAUUUUUUGAUUGUGGUGUUUGUUUUUUUGUUGUUGUUGAGUUGUUUGUAUACUUUGGAGAUUAAGCCCUUGUCAGGGGCAUAAUUUGCAACUAUUUUUCCCAUUCCAUAGUUUGUCUUUCCUUUUUUGUUGAUGUUUUCCUUUGCUGUGCAAAAGCUGGUAGGUUUAGUUAGGUCCCAUUUGUUUAUUUUUGUUUUUAUUUCUGUUGCCUUGGGAAAAGGCAAGACAUAAGAUCUAAGAAAAUAUUUGUGUAGUUUAUAUCAAAGAAUGUUUUACCCAUGUUCUAUUCUAGGAGUUUUAUGGUGUCAUAUCUUAUGUUUAAGACGUUAAGCCAUUUAGUUUAUUAUUGUGCAUGGUAUGAGGGUGUGCUCUAGUUUCAUUGAUUUACAUGCCUCUGUCCAAUUUUGCCAGCAGCACUUGCUGAAGAGAUUGUCUUUUUUUCCAUUUCAUAUUCUUGCCUCCUUUGUUCAAGAUCAGUGACCAAAGGUGUCCAGGUUUAUUUCUGGGCUCUCUAUUCUCUUCCAUUUGUCCGGAUGUCUGCUUUUGCACCAGUACCAUACUGUCUUGCUUACGAUGGCUUUGUAACAUUGUCUGAAGUCUGGGAGAAUUAUGCCUCCUGCUCUCUUUUUUUUUUCCCCUCAGGACUGCUUUGACAAAUAUGGGUCUUUUGUGGCUCCAUAUAAAUUUUAGGAAUAUUUGUUCUAGUUCUGUGAAAAAUGUCAUGGGUAAUUUGAUAGGGAUUGCAUGGAAUCUGUUGAUUGCUUUGAGUAGUAUGGCCAUUUUAACAAUAUUAAUUCUUCCAAUCCAGGAGCAUAGCAUGUCUUUCAAUUUCUUUGAAUUCUCUUUAAUGUCCUUGAUUAAUGUUUUAUAGCUUUCAGGGUAUAAGUCUUUCACAUCCUUGGUCAGGUUUAUUCCUAGGUAUUUUUUGAGUGCAAUUUAAAAAGGUAUUGUAUUUUAUAUUCCUUUUCCAAUAUUUCCUUGUUAAUAUACAGAAAUAGAACCAAUUUAUGAAUGUUAAUUUUGUAUCCUGCUACUUUGAUGAAUUCACUGAUCAGUUUGAGUAGUUUUUUUGUGGAGUUCAUAGGCUUUUCUAUAUAUAGUAUUGUGUCAUCUACAGAGUGAGAAUUUCAUUCCUUCUCUUCCAAUUUGGAUAACAUUUAUUUCUUUUGUUUGUCUGAUUGCUCUGUCUAGGACUUCCAAUACUAUGCUGAAUAAAAGUGGUAAGAGUGGGCAUCCUUGUCUUGUUCCUUAUUUUAGUGGGAAGUAUUAUGCUGGCUGUGAGUUUGUCAUAAAUGGCUUUUAUUAUGUUAAGGUAUGUUCUCUCCAUACCCACUUUAGUAAGAGGUUUUUUUUUUUUUUUUUAUCAUGAAUGGAUGUUGGAUUUUGUCAAAUGCUUUUUCUGCAUCUAUUGAGAUGAUCAUGUGUUUGUUUGUUUGUUUGUUUUUUACCUUUGUUAAUGUGGUGUAUGACAUUAACUGAUUUUUGUAUGUUGAACCCUCCUUGUGAAUUUGGGAUGAAUCCCACUUGGUCAUGUAUAUGAUCCUUUUUAUGUGUCAUUGGAUUCAGUGGGCUAAAAUUUUGUAAGUAAUUUUUGCAUCUAUAUUCAUCAAAGAUAUUGACCUAUAAUUUUCUUUUUUGAGAGUUUCUUUAUCUGGUUUUGGCAUUAGGGUGUCUUUGGGACUUUUUCAGUCUUACCUAUUUGUGUGUCUGUUGCUCACACCAGGCUAUGGGGUCACAGGGAGAGGGAUUCUGUCUUAUUCUGAAACUAGUGCAGGCAUACAUGUUUUGAACUGAAUAGUCUGCCUCUAAAGCCUGUACUCUUAUCCUUUAGUAUGAUGUGCUAACUUCCUAACCUAGUAGCCAUCAAACAUUAUAAAAAUGUGGCAGGGACAUAAUUAGGGCCUGGAGUCAAGAAGAGUUUUAGCAUUAGAAGUCCUUCUAGAAAUUCAGAAGAAUUUCUUCUUCCAGAGAAGGAUUCUUUCUCUGCAGAAAUAUUGAUUUGUAAAAAUCUUCAUUCAUGCAAAUUCUUGUUGAUGAUUUAAAACUAACUCUAUAAACAACACAGAGAAAACUGUUAUGGAAAUUCUUUCUUGCUCUAACUUCCUCCCCAUUUCCCAGAGCACAUGGAGUAACAAGAGAAAUUGGACAAACUGUAAACCAUAAUCUGUAUGUGCCACCCACACAGGGGUUCCAGUGGGAUAUGGUCACAUGUCAGGGAUGUAGGGCAAAUCAGUCUACAAAUGGGCAGUUAAUUCAGAAGCAGGAGUCUUGGAGCCAGAUAUGGUGAGAAGGCUGGUGGGAAGCAAUUAAGGGAUACAAACCAUGAGUAGGAUGGAGCUCAGGUCCUGUUCUCAUGAGUGUUUCCCCAGUGGUGGAGGGACACAGUCUUUGCCAAAGACUGUGGGGCAGGUCCCAGAGAGGCAGAGCUCUUAGAGGAGCCUACUAGAAGCCAAGGUCAGCUCCAGGACCCAGAGGCCUGGGAAGUUGGCAACUUGAAAAGCACACACCCAUUACUGAGAAGUACAUGGGGGAGGCAUGUAGCAGCACAGUUAAGACCUUGAGUUCUGGAGUCAGAUUGUCUGGAAACCUCUUAGACCUACCACUUGCUCACCAUGUGAUUUUGCUCAAGUUAUUCAACCUCCUGGUCCCUCUAUUUCUCCAUGUCUCUAAUAGUGUUUGUUAAGAGUGUUAGGAAAAGUCAAUAAAGCAACAGUCCUGAAGAUUUUCUGCAUAACCCUUGCAUAUAGAAGCACUAAAUAAAAGCUCAUUGUAUUGUAAGUAGCAGCAAAUUAUAGUACUAAUUAGCAACAAAGGGACCUGAGAAACAUAUGGGAAAUCCACGGUUGGUCCUUGAACUUUUAGUGCUAGCUCUCAAUGGCCAUGCCCCUUUUCUUUGCGUAAGAUGUUCGAUAUACCUGGAACCACUUUUUCCUUUAUAUUUGGCUACAACUUCUAUCUUCUUCAGGUCUCAAGUCACACUCCUGCUGUUCUGCUGAGUAGGCUAAGAAUGGUUAGAUUAGUCUGUUCUGUGUCUGUUUUGGUCUGGGAACUAAGUCAGAGGCUGAAUCUUCCUGCCUCAGGUCCAGCAGGAUACCUGGCAUUGACUUGGACUCAGAGAUAAAGUAAAAAAGGGACCUAGGCAGGUGAUUUUAUGACACUGUGGAUGUUAUUAUUUAUUGUGAGGUUAGAUGAGGCAGAACUGUAACAGGAGGGCUCUUCUGAGCAGGGAAAAUAUGGGGUUCUAGGACCAAAAUUUACUGAAGAGAUGCACUAUAUUAGAGUUCGGAUGCAUGCUUGUUGAUUGUUUCUUUUUGUUGUUCUUUUUUGAGAGGGAAGUGAACAAAUUGCUGGUUUUACUUAUUGAUCCAAAAGGCUAACCUUGACAUCUAGAUAAAAGACUUGUUCUGGAGGUAUUUCCUUGACUAUAGAGCCAGUUACUUAACCAGACAGUGUUCAGCAUUCUGUCCAGCUUGCUCUCAGUAAAAGUGGAAGCUUAUUUUUACCUGGCACCCUUUAUACUACCUGAGGAAAGAGGUAUGGCCACAGCAUCAAGUUCAAAUUAUUCUAUAUGGCUUCCUAGGAUGAUCCAUUACCUAACUCUUCCAAAACUCUUUGCCUUCAUGUCUCAGCUCCCUUCUUGCAGACUGGUUCCCAGACAUAUAAAACUUCUUUCAGCUCUUCAGCAGCCAGGCUCUCUCUUGCCUGAGUCUUUUGCUCUGUCUCAAACUUUCUUCACAUCACUUCUUCAUCUCUGAAAACUCCAACUCACCUUGCAAACUUCUGCAUAAUCAUCACCACCUCUGGAAAACCCCUCUGUACCAUACCCCAUGCACCCAGCCCAAAUGAGGUACUUCUGCCUCUAGGAGGAUAAGUAUGACAUGACCUUACUCACACACUGUGUUCCCAGGCUCAUCACUGGGCAUAGCACAGAGUCAGCAAAAAUAUGUGUUGAAAGAAUGAGUGAUUGAGUGACUCAACAAAUGAAUGAAUGGAAAAAAUAUGCCUGUUUUCAGUAAAUGACCAAUCAGAGGGCUAUUUUGAAUAGGGACCUAGAAGGUGAAGGGUGCUGUUGGGGUUUUUGGAUUGGGCACCAUAGAAUAAGGAAGUGAAACCUGUACAGAAGCAUAGGAAAAUGCUUAAGUAAAAUAAUAAAAUAUUAAACUGAUUUAGCCAAAAUAUAAUAAAUCAUGGUGAACAAAUUGAUUGUACUGAGCUUAAAUAGAAUGGAUACACAGCUAUCUGCUAUCUGCUCCUGAGAUUGCGCCUAUAAUUCUCACGGGCAGAACCUUAUGUCUGUAACACAGAUCUACCAGACGGUUUCUCAGGGGCACUACACAAGAGUACUAACUUACAAAACUGACGCUACAUGCCUCAUCUCCUUCUGACUAGGUAUCACAACUCAAAAUUGGAUUAUAAGUAAGUGGGCUUCUCUGGCCUUAUGGGUAAAGAAGAUAGGCUGAGAACCUACCUACUAUUACUGAAAAUGGGGUCUAGUAGCUCACUACUUGAAAGCCAACAGAGAGGCAAGGUUGGUGGAGAGGAAAGUUUGCUUUAUUUCAGAGGUGGGCUAUAGUGCGGAUUGGGGGUCAGACCUGUUGUCCAAAGGCCAAUUCCCUCCACUGACAAUCAGUGCAGCAAAGCUUUUGCAUACAGAAACAGCAUGAUCAGGAGUUCCCGUCGUGGCGCAGUGGUUAACGAAUCCGACUAGGAACCAAGAGGUUGCGGGUUCGGUCCCUGCCCUUGCUCAGUGGGUUAAGGAUCCGGCGUUGCCGUGAGCUGUGGUGUAGGUUGCAGACGCGGCUCGGAUCCCGCGUUGCUGUGGCUCUGGCGUAGGCCGGUGGCUACAGCUCCGAUUCAACCCCUAGCCUGGGAACCUCCAUAUGCCGCGGGAGCGGCCCAAGAAAUAGCAGCAACAACAACAAUAACAAAAAAAAGACCAAAAAAAAAAGA